rnacentral:rRNA from 1 species
AUUGAACGCUGGCGGCAGGCCUAACACAUGCAAGUCGAACGAGUGGCGGACGGGUGAGUAAUGUCUGGGAAACUGCCCGAUGGAGGGGGGUAACUACUGGACACGGUAGCUAAUACCUCAUACCAUAGGAUGUGCCCAGAUGGGAUUAGCUAGUGGGUGGGGUAAAGGCUCACCUAGGCGACGAUCCCUAGCUGGUCUGAGAGGAUGACCAGCCAAACUGGAACUGAGACAAGGUCCAGACUCCUACGAGAUGCAGCAGUGGGGAAUAUUGCACAAUGGGCGCAAGCCUGAUACAGCCAUGCCGCGUGUAUGAAGAAGGCCUUCGGGUUGUAAAGUACUUUCAGCGAGGAGGCGUUACUCGCAGAAGAAGCACCGGCUAACUCCGUGCCAGCAGCCGCGGUAAUUC